rnacentral:tRNA from 1 species
GUUUGAGUAGCUUAAUCAAUAGCAUAAAACUGUAAAUUUUACCAUAUUUCAUCAUCCAAACC